rnacentral:rRNA from 2 species
UCGAACGCACUUCGGUUUUUGAUUGACGGUGCUUGCACCAGAUUGACGAGACAUUGAAGUGAGUGGCGAACGGGUGAGUAACACGUGGGUAACCUGCCCUAAAGUGGGGGAUAACAUUUGGAAACAGAUGCUAAUACCGCAUAACAACGAAAACCACAUGGUUUUCGCUUGAAAGAUGGUUUCGGCUAUCACUUUAGGAUGGACCCGCGGUGCAUUAGCUAGUUGGUAAGGUAACGGCUUACCAAGGCAAUGAUGCAUAGCCGAGCUGAGAGGCUGAUCGGCCACAUUGGGACUGAGACACGGCCCAGACUCCUACGGGAGGCAGCAGUAGGGAAUCUUCCACAAUGGGCGCAAGCCUGAUGGAGCAACGCCGCGUGAGUGAAGAAGGGUUUCGGCUCGUAAAACUCUGUUGUUAAAGAAGAACGUAUCUGAGAGUAACUGUUCAGAUAGUGACGGUAUUUAACCAGAAAGCCACGGCUAACUACGUGCCAGCMGCCGCGGUAAUWCGGUCAUAGCUGUUUCC